GACGGAGGAUGCAAGUGUUAUCCGGAAUCACUGGGCGUAAAGCGUCUGUAGGUGGUUUAAUAAGUCAACUGUUAAAUCUUGAGGCUCAACCUCAAAAUCGCAGUCGAAACUAUUAGGCUAGAGUAUAGUAGGGGUAAAGGGAAUUUCCAGUGGAGCGGUGAAAUGCGCAGAUAUCAGGAGGAACACCGGUGGCGAAGGCGGAUCUCUGGGCCUUACCUGACGCUCAGGCGCGAAAGCUAGGGGAGCGAACAGG
rnacentral:rRNA from 1 species